rnacentral:tRNA from 1 species
GCGGGAAUAGCUCAGCUGGUAGAGCGUUGCCUUGCCAUGGCAAAGGUCGCGGGUUCGAAUCCCGUUUCCCGCU